rnacentral:lncRNA from 1 species
AAUCUCUUUAGAAAGGCAUUUGACAACAUUUAAACUCCAUCAGGCAGCCUAAGGAACAUUGUGAAUACAAAAUUCAUCUUGAGUUAAAGUUUCUGCCUUAUUAAAUUCAUCUUUUCUGUAGUGGGUGGUUGUCCCUGCUACAGAUAACUGUGACCCUGGAUGGCAGGACCUGUGUUCACUGUGAACCAACUUUUCCUUCGAGGGCCCCAAAGACCCUGGGUGUGAAUCGCCCGAGUGGGUAGGGUCUCUCACCUGUGAGUCCUCCCACCAGGGUCCCCGUCCUUCCACCCACCUUCCCCCGGGUCUAUUUCCCUUGAGGUCUGAGCUGGGCUGCCCAGUGAGGGGUCAUCCCUGCUGUGAGAUGAAACUGAGGCGUGACUCCCCACCCCUCUGCAGGGCCCUAGAGGGCAUGCGCAGCUUCAACCGUCUGAUCAAGGGCGGAUCCGACUCCCUGCUCGGGGCAGCAGCUCGUGGUUCAUUCAGCCCCAGCGGCAUCUCGAUGGGGUGACGUGAGGGGCACAGAGAACCGAGGAUUGGGUCUGAUGGGAUUAAACUCCCAACUGGUGUCCCCGCGUCUUCUCUUUCCUGACAGCAGACACCAAGAAGAAACAGCCCCAGACACACCGAGAAUUCACGGCUGGGACCAGCUAGUCCAUGGCUCCACCUUCUUGGGAGCAGAUUAGAUCCGCUUUCAAGCCAGUGAGGUGAUCUGAGUCCCAGCAGCCUCAUCUGCCAAGUCAACCCCUGCACUGCAUUGAGAAAGCUGCGGUCAGAGAUUCAGAGUGAAGACAAGCGCUGUCCCACGCCAGAGCCCAAACCUGUCCCCGGGUUGGGAAGCUGAGGAGUGAUUAUUUGGUUCUCGGAUGCUUCGAGGGUGCCUCAUGUGGUAUGCGAUCAGUGCACACAUCCCAGAUUCCUGCUUCUGAGUAAUGAAGGCGACCAAACCACGUGACCCUGCCUGCAAAGAUCCCACCUGGACUCCCGGUUCCUCCAAGGAGCCAUCGUGUGGUUCAAAUCCAUCAGAAAUUCUCCAAAUCUCCACCCUCCUCAGGGUGCAGAGUUGGCUGCUUUUCUGUGUCCCCUGCUGAUCACCGCAACCACUGGGUGCCUUGGCCUGCGAAGCCUCAGCUGUCCUCCGUCUGCAGACGAGCCGAGGAGCAGUUGCCUCUGGGGUGCCACAGUUGCCCAGAAUCCCUGGCAGCCACCUGUUCAAAGAAUCUUGAAGCAAUCAGAUGGUUGAUGCAGAAGAAGGUUCGUGAAUUCUGGAUUUAG